rnacentral:rRNA from 1 species
CCUACGGGUGGCAGCAGUGGGGAAUUUUGCGCAAUGGGGGCAACCCUGACGCAGCAACGCCGCGUGAGUGAUGAAGGCCUUCGGGUCGUAAAGCUCUGUCAGAGGGGAAGAAAUGCAGGUGGUGAACAACCAUUCUGUUUGACGGUACCCUCAAAGGAAGCACCGGCUAACUCCGUGCCAGCAGCCGCGGUAAUACGGAGGGUGCGAGCGUUGUUCGGAAUUAUUGGGCGUAAAGCGCGUGUAGGCGGUUUGUUAAGUCUGAGGUGAAAGCCCCGGGCACAACCUGGGAAGUGCAUUGGAUACUGGAAGACUUGAGUACGGAAGAGGAGAGUGGAAUUCCCGGGGUAGGAGUGAAAUCCGUAGAUAUUGGGAGGAACACCGUUGGCGAAGGCGGCUCUCUGGACCGAUACUGACGCUGAGACGCGAAAGCGUGGGGAGCAAACAGGAUUAGAUACCCCUGUAGU